CGACCUGCGGAGGGAUCAUUA
rnacentral:rRNA from 1 species